UACGAAGGGGGCUAGCGUUGUUCGGAAUCACUGGGCGUAAAGGGCGCGUAGGCGGCUUUGUAAGUCGGGGGUGAAAGCCUGUGGCUCAACCACAGAAUUGCCUUCGAUACUGCAUGGCUCGAGACCGGAAGAGGUUAGUGGAACUGCGAGUGUAGAGGUGAAAUUCGUAGAUAUUCGGAAGAACACCAGUGGCGAAGGCGGCUCACUGGACCGGUAUUGACGCUGAGGUGCGAAAGCGUGGGGAGCAAACAGG
rnacentral:rRNA from 1 species